rnacentral:sRNA from 1 species
ACUCGCGGUCCGCAGGAUGACUCAGGGCAGCCCUGACCACAGUUCCGCCGCCAUCGGCCCUAGCCUGCGGAGUUGGGCUCGCCCCAGGACGAUAACAGAGCUCUACCGGGGGCUGGAGGCACUGACCGGGUGACCAGAGACCCUCCACGGCGCCCGGGAUUUCAGGGACGGCUCCUCCCAUCGCAAGUAGGGCUUGGACGAGAGGCGACAAAAGAGAACUUGGUCCGCACACAGCCACCGAAAUUGGAAUGAGGAGCUGUAGGGAGGCCCCGUAGCCAGCAGAAAAGCAUUGGGGUCCCUGGCUGGGUUAGCCCAGGUUUCUAGGAGUGUGGUAAGCGUCGAAUGACUUUUGUCCUUUUAAAGCACAUUAUGUUACUUUUUCCCCAAGGUUUCAACAGAAAGUGAGAAAUAUCCCCCCGACGAUUGGCUGAAAACAUGCAGCAACCACUAUUUUCUUCCUGCCCCUCGUUGAUGAGAGCAUUCGAAGUGACCUCAGCAGGGCAUCCAGGUCAGUUUCUGGAAGACGUGUGUGUGGUGAAUGAAUAUCUGGUUUUGUCUCUGCUGGGCCUGUGUGCCUGUAAAGGAAUUGUUUUGGCCUAGGAUCAUCCAGAUCAAUUAUGCAGCUACAGCCAAAACCAAGUUCUUUUUAUUGCAAUGGUAAUGAAAGGAGCUCCAUGUAAGUCAUUGGAAGGUCACAUGUUCACAGACUGUCAGCUGUGGAGGGUUAUGUAACAGUGGUUAUGCAAUGCCACGUUAGAACUGCAGCCCAAGCAGCAAAACAUUUAGAUU